rnacentral:rRNA from 1 species
AGAGUUUGAUCAUGGCUCAGGACGAACGCUGGCGGCGUGCCUAACACAUGCAAGUCGAACGGAAUCCAUGGAGUGCUUGCACUCCGGAAGAUUUAGUGGCGAACGGGUGAGUAACACGUGAGAAACCUGCCCCAGACUCUGGGAUAACUCAAGGAAACUUGUGCUAAUACCGGAUACCCUCAUUUCAUCGCAUGGUGGUUUGAGGAAAGUUUUUCGGUUUGGGAGGGUCUCGCGGCCUAUCAGCUUGUUGGUGGGGUAACGGCCUACCAAGGCUACGACGGGUAGCUGGUUUGAGAGAACGAUCAGCCACACUGGAACUGAGACACGGUCCAGACUCCUACGGGAGGCAGCAGUGGGGAAUCUUGCGCAAUGGGCGAAAGCCUGACGCAGCAACGCCGCGUGCGGGAUGAAUGCCUUCGGGUUGUAAACCGCUUUCAGCAGGGACGAAGAUGACGGUACCUGCAGAAGAAGCUCCGGCUAACUACGUGCCAGCAGCCGCGGUAAUACGUAGGGAGCAAGCGUUGUCGGAUUUAUUGGGCGUAAAGAGCUCGUAGGCGGUUUCGUAGGUCGAGUGUGAAAAAUCUGGGCUUAACCCAGUGGAGCACUUGAUACUGCGAUGACUUGAGUUUGGUAGAGGAGUGUGGAAUUCCUGGUGUAGCGGUGAAAUGCGCAGAUAUCAGGAGGAACACCAACGGCGAAGGCAGCACUCUGGGCCAAUACUGACGCUGAGGAGCGAAAGCGUGGGGAGCAAACAGGAUUAGAUACCCUGGUAGUCCACGCCGUAAACGUUGGGCACUAGGUGUGGGGAGGAAUCAACCCUUUCCGUGCCGUAGCUAACGCAUUAAGUGCCCCGCCUGGGGAGUACGGCCGCAAGGCUAAAACUCAAAGGAAUUGACGGGGACCCGCACAAGCGGUGGAUGAUGUGGAUUAAUUCGAUGCAACGCGAAAAACCUUACCUACCCUUGACAUGUCAGAAAUCCCUGAGAGAUUAGGGAGUGCCGCAAGGAAUCUGAACACAGGUGCUGCAUGGCUGUCGUCAGCUCGUGUCGUGAGAUGUUGGGUUAAGUCCCGCAACGAGCGCAACCCUUGUCGUUAAUUGCCAUCAUUAAGUUGGGCACUUUAACGAGACUGCCGGUGACAAACCGGAGGAAGGUGGGGAUGACGUCAAGUCCUCAUGGCCCCUAUGGGUAGGGCUUCACACGUCAUAUAAUGGUCGGUACAGAGGGUUGCCAAGCCGCGAGGUGGAGCCAAUCCCAGAAAGCCGAUCGUAGUCCGGAUUGUUCUCUGCAACUCGAGAGCAUGAAGUCGGAAUCGCUAGUAAUCGCGGAUCAGCAUGUCGCGGUGAAUACGUUCCCGGGUCUUGUACACACCGCCCGUCACACCAUGGGAGUGGAAUCUGGCAGAAGUAGGUAGCCUAACCGCAAGGAGGGCGCUUACCACGCUGGGUUUCAUGACUGGGGUGAAGUCGUAACAAGGUAACCGUA